GAUGAACGCUGGCGGCGUGCUUAACACAUGCAAGUCGAUCGGAAAGGCCCAAGCUUGCUUGGGUACUCGAGUGGCGAACGGGUGAGUAACACGUGGGUGAUCUGCCCUGCACUUCGGGAUAAGCCUGGGAAACUGGGUCUAAUACCGGAUAGGACCACUUCUUGGAUGUUGUGGUGGAAAGUUUUUUCGGUGUGGGAUGAGCUCGCGGCCUAUCAGCUUGUUGGUGGGGUAAUGGCCUACCAAGGCGUCGACGGGUAGCCGGCCUGAGAGGGUGUACGGCCACAUUGGGACUGAGAUACGGCCCAGACUCCUACGGGAGGCAGCAGUGGGGAAUAUUGCACAAUGGGCGCAAGCCUGAUGCAGCGACGCCGCGUGGGGGAUGACGGCCUUCGGGUUGUAAACUCCUUUCGCUAGGGACGAAGCGUUUUGUGACGGUACCUGGAGAAGAAGCACCGGCUAACUACGUG
rnacentral:rRNA from 1 species